UACAGAGGUCCCAAGCGUUGUUCGGAUUUAUUGGGCGUAAAGGGUGCGUAGGCGGCGGAGUAAGUUGGGUGUGAAAUCCCGGGGCUCAACCUCGGAAUUGCAUUCAAUACUGCUUCGCUAGAGUACUGGAGAGGAGGCUGGAAUUUACGGUGUAGCAGUGAAAUGCGUAGAUAUCAGGAGGAAUACCGAUGGCGAAGGCAGGUCUCUGGGCUGACACUGACGCUCAUGCACGAAAGCGUGGGGAGCAAACAGG
rnacentral:rRNA from 1 species